rnacentral:rRNA from 1 species
UUUAUGGAGAGUUUGAUCCUGGCUCAGGAUGAACGCUGGCGGCGUGCCUAAUACAUGCAAGUCGAGCGAACUGACGAGGAGCUUGCUCCUUUGACGUUAGCGGCGGACGGGUGAGUAACACGUGGGUAACCUACCUAUAAGACUGGAAUAACUCCGGGAAACCGGGGCUAAUGCCGGAUAACAUGUUGAACCGCAUGGUUCAACAGUGAAAGACGGGCUUGCUGUCACUUAUAGAUGGACCCGCGCCGGAUU